rnacentral:tRNA from 1 species
GCCUGGGUGGCUCAGUCGGUUAAGCGGCUGACUUCAGCUCAGGUCAUGAUCUCACGGUCCGUGAGUUCGAGCCCCACGUCGGGCU